UACGAGGGGGGCAAGCGUUGUUCGGAAUUAUUGGGCGUAAAGGGCGCGUAGGCGGUUUGACAAGUUUCAUGUGAAAUCUAUGGGCUCAACCCAUAGUCUGCAAGGGAAACUGCCGGGCUUGAGUAUGGGAGAGGUGAGUGGAAUUCCUGGUGUAGCGGUGAAAUGCGUAGAUAUCAGGAGGAACACCUGUGGCGAAAGCGGCUCACUGGACCAUAACUGACGCUGAUGCACGAAAGCUAGGGGAGCAAACAGG
rnacentral:rRNA from 1 species